rnacentral:rRNA from 1 species
UGGGGAAUUUUGGACAAUGGGCGCAAGCCUGAUCCAGCCAUACCGCGUGAGUGAAGAAGGCCUUCGGGUUGUAAAGCUCUUUCAGACGGAAAGAGACGGUUACGGCUAAUACCCGUGACUAAUGACGGUACCGUAAGAAGAAGCACCGGCUAACUACGUGCCAGCAGCCGCGGUAAUACGUAGGGUGCGAGCGUUAAUCGGAAUUACUGGGCGUAAAGCGUGCGCAGGCGGUUUGGUAAGACAGAUGUGAAAUCCCCGGGCUUAACCUGGGAACUGCAUUUGUGACUGCCAGACUAGAGUGUAGCAGAGGGGGGUAGAAUUCCACGUGUAGCAGUGAAAUGCGUAGAGAUUUGGAGGAAUACCAGUGGCGAAGGCGGCCCCCUGGCACAACACUGACGCUCAGGUGCGAAAGCGUGGGGAGCAAACAGGAUUAGAUACCCAAGUAGUCCCUGAGCGGGCUGGCAAGGCGCAU